CAAUUCAAGGAGUUGAUAUUUUUGAGGAGCUGAGUUAUAAGAAGUUUCCAAACCAGUUCAACAAAAAUUGCAUUACAACUUCCUUACUAAUAAAAAAAGUUGAAGGCAAUGUAAUUGACAUCCUAUUACAAGAACUUCUUUAAAAACAUACUUCAAAAAUGUCCUUAUAAUUUUGUCACGAGGUCAUUAUUAGAGGACCAAGACCUUAAUUGACAACCAUAAUUGCUUUUAUUAAAGUAUACUAGUUUCUUCUGGAUAGAGGCCAUUUAGAAAUUUAUUUAGGCAGUAUAUUCUAUAUGAACAGUGGUAUUUUUAAAAAGUUAAGCUGUUUCUAUUCAAUAGUUUUCUUUCUUUUUUAUCUUUUCCCACUUUCGUCCCUGGUUUUGUUACACCAUUCUCACAUACUUUGAAAACCCUCCCACUAGCCCAUCUGGCAUGCUAUCCCCAUUUCUAUUCUUUAAGUCCCUCUUUAAGAUCAAUUUACUUUUAAGAAAACUUGGUUAAACCCAUAGAAGAGCAAAAACCACUCAAAUAUAUAUACGUAUACAUGUAUUUUUGGUCUACCUACCACAGUGGCCCUUUUAAAAAAAAGAUAUUUCCAUGUUUUAUAUUUAACCUGCCUACCGUAGUAACAUUUUUCCUCCUAAUGAUACUCUAAAUGGCACUACAAAAUAGGCACAAACCCCAAACAUUUAAUAAGUCCCAUUUCAUGUCCCAUUAUCCUUGGAUUUUACCCCCAGCUUCUUGAAGAAGACCAUAUUUGUGAUUUGGUGGUAAUGAGGUAAGCUAAGCAAUCCUUUCUUAAUGGUUCACCACCUGGUCUUGUCAAAGAGCACGCUUCUCAGACGACUACACUGAUGCUACAUGGCUUUGUACUUCAUAGUCUUAAAUCCUAUCAUCUGAUUGCCUUAUGUAUGCAUACUCUGUCAAAUAGACUUCCUUUUGAAUUUGAUUACUUAUUUCAUUUCCCAAUCAAAGGAAUGGCUUCAUAUGAUUUGGUGCUCCACAAGCAAAGCAAAUAUAAUACAAGCAGUAGCUGGAUAAUGUAAAGCUAUAAUACCCGUUAUCACAUCAUUAGUAGACUGGACAGCCCUAAGAGAGCAAGCACUUCAAGUUUUACUUCAAACAUAAAGCAGAACUGAAGAACUGGCAGUAUUGGUUUUCCAAACUGUGGGUUUUUGUGUUCUUUCUUAAUAUUUAAAUAAGGCGAGAAAAUUUAGUUAUGAAUUUAAGUUCCAGGCUGUUAACAUGUUGUGAAGAAAUUUUAAACAUAUUGCUUUCAAAUAUGACCAACAUUUGUGCAACAAUUCAUGCAGUGCUGCUUCAAAAUCUUUUAUACGGAGACUCACAUUUUGCCCAGUUUAAAGAAUUUUCCAAGAGUUAAGGUGUUUUUCUUUAUAUGAUGAUCUUAUCUUGGUUGCUAACCGAAGGGAGAACAAGUACCUGCAUGUUUAUGUGCUGUUUAUAUUAAGAAGUAAUUCUGAGCUGCUUUAAGUGUUAAUUGUGAAAACCGGAGGGGAGCGAAACUUUGUUGUAUUAAGACUAAAGGGAUUAAGAUGUUACUGCUUUGUGAGGAUCAGAUUCCCAUUUCUGAUAAAAGGAAUAGAGAAAAUGCUCUAUAGGUAGAGGCAGCGCACCCACCACCAUACUGCAGACAAGUUUUGUUUAGCCUACGAGUUUUAAAAGAAAAAAUUUAUAUCCACAUAUAAUUUGGUUUCUCUUCAAAACCAAAUCAGAAGAUCUGGAAGCAAACCGGCCAGUCAUGAGAUGCAGCUACCAUCUGAAAACAGGGCAAGUGCUCUUUAAUUCAAAACAGUUCCUAUCAUUUCCUUCAUGAGAGCGUAGGGCAUAUUGCAGCCUUGUUAGUGACACUCGUACUCUAUCAAGACGACACAGUGAUGUAGGUCUGAGCCACUUUGGUGUAAAAACUGCUUGUUGCAAUGAUGCUUUUCUCUUUUUUCCCCCAAUGAGGCUUUGCUACCUAACUCGACCAGGGUGUUCUAUAUCUGAUGAGCAAGCAGGAGCAGCCAAGCUAGGAUUUAAGAGUUAUUACCACUCUAUCAAUUGCCCAUCACAGUCAUCCAAUGGGAGGAUGCUCAGAUUGUCUAUCCUGUCAUGGGACUAAAGGUCUUCACGCGUCAUACUGGGCGCAAUUCCCAAUCAUUCAAGACAUUUCAUUUUACCUCGUACCUAGUUCAGCACAAGUCGUUUGUGUCACGUUCAUGCCGUAAAAUGAACCUAUACUGUGUCCUUACCCUCGAUGUUUAGCUCAAAACAAACGUGGCAGAAGGAGAGCGUUUCUUUGUCCGUUCCCAGUUUACAAACACUGCAAAUGUUGUCAUCAUUCAAAUCAAUGUUCACAAACUGCUCCUCUUCGUUCAUAGUGCCCCUGUUGAGAGACGGAGAGGGAAAGUCAGGCCACUUCAAGAAUUCCGACAGCGACAGCGGGGUAGGAACUAGGAACUCCUGGGAGAGGGAGGCUGUUAAUCCCCUGCAGCGGACGCCUCAAGCGCGCAUCGCCAUGCUCGGACUUCGAGGUCUCACCUGCUCACCUGUACCGAGUAAAGACACCAGGCUGGCAGAACUUACAGCCUCGCCACGGGCGUCACUGCGCCCAAGUGCCCGUCCUGAUGCCGUGUUUCAUGUGGCGGAGAAGGGGGCCUGAAGGAAAGCGGUUUGCGGGUCCCGCUCUGCGCCAGCGGGCCCGACCCCGACCCGACCCCGACCCCGACCCGGCCCCGACCGCGACGGCUCAGCGGCGCUGCCGGGGGUCCCUCAACCUGCUUAACGCUCGUAAAUGCAGGAAACCUGUUCGGGA